rnacentral:rRNA from 1 species
CGACAGGAUCGCAGAGAUGGCUUGGUGCUCGAAAGAGACCGUAACACAGGUGCUGCAUGGCUGUCGUCAGCUCGUGUCGUGAGAUGUUGGGUUAAGUCCCGCAACGAGCGCAACCCUUGUCAUUAGUUGCUACAUUUGGUUGGGCACUCUAAUGAGACUGCCGGUGACAAACCGGAGGAAGGUGGGGAUGACGUCAAGUCCUCAUGGCCCUUAUAGGUAGGGCUACACACGUCAUACAAUGGAUGGUACAGAGGGUCGCCAACCCGCGAGGGGGAGCUAAUCCCAUAAAACCAUUCGUAGUCCGGAUCGCAGUCUGCAACUCGACUGCGUGAAGUCGGAAUCGCUAGUAAUCGCGGAUCAGAAUGUCGCGGUGAAUACGUUCCCGGGUCUU